UACAGGGGGUGCAAACGUUGCUCGGAAUUAUUGGGCGUAAAGCGCGCGUAGGCGGUUGCUUAAGUCGGAUGUGAAAGCCCUUGGCUUAACCGAGGAAGUGCAUCCGAAACUGAGCAGCUAGAGUACGAAAGGGGUGCGCGGAAUUCCCGGUGUAGAGGUGAAAUUCGUAGAUAUCGGGAGGAACACCGGUGGCGAAGGCGGCGACCUGGGUCGAGACUGACGCUGAGGCGCGAAAGCGUGGGGAGCAAACAGG
rnacentral:rRNA from 1 species